AUUGAACGCUGGCGGCAGGCCUAACACAUGCAAGUCGAACGAGUGGCGGACGGGUGAGUAAUGUCUGGGAAACUGCCCGCUAGAGGGGGAUAACUACUGGAAACGGUAGCUAAUACCGCAUACUAUCAGAUGUGCCCAGAUGGGAUUAGCUAGUAGGUGGGGUAAAGGCUAACCUAGGCGAAGAUCCCGAGCUGGUCUGAGAGUAUGAACAGCCCAACUGUGACUGAGACACGGUCCAGCCUCCUACGGGAGGCAGCAGUGGGGAAUAUUGCACAAUGGGAGCAAGCCUGAUGCAGCCAUGCCGCGUGUAUGAAGAAGGCCUGAGGGUUGUAAAGUACUUUCAGCGGGGAGGCGUUACCCGCAGAAGAAGCACCGGCUAACUCCGUGCCAGCCGCCGCGGUAAUAC
rnacentral:rRNA from 1 species